rnacentral:tRNA from 1 species
UGGCUCAAGGAUUAAGAGCACUGGAUGCUCUUUCCAGUGGUCCUGGGUUCAAUUCCCAG